CGCAUCUAUCGCCGUAGAUCAACAUUGCUCGCAACCCUGCGAGAAAAUUGCUAUGACAUUGAAGUGACAGGUAUUCCACCUGUCACCGGGUGAGUGGUCAAACGUGGAUUAAUAGAAAACGUACCUAGUUAUGCUUAUGUCUGCGAAUCUUAAAUUGAAUAAUCAUAUACUAAAUGCUCUACUAUUAAUAUUGGUGAAUAUUCUGUGCAAACCAGUAAUUUAUAUUGAAUUCCUACCGGAGGCACCUGAACUGUACCGCGACUCCUUUGUUUCAAGCUCUUCCAAGAGCCUAUUGUUCAUCAAAACCGGACUAUCCCUAGAAUUGCUAUAGCUCACCACGAAAUUAUAAGAGGGAACUAAACGUGAGUAAAUCUCUGUCUUAUAUUGUUAAAUUUCACUACCUCUAAUAGUAAAGCAGAGGUUCAUAAAAGCAUGAUCGCGGAGCAUUCGAUCAAAUAUUAUAUAAAAAUAUAUUACA